AUCCUUACUUAGCUCAAGCCAUAACUAUACUAGUGGUUUUCUAUGGACUGAAGCCAGCUNUGGGUGAAGCUCAGCCAUUGCAUUCUGGUUGUGCUGAGCCCUGCGGUUUCUCCAAANGCAAGAAACUCGACUGCAUAAUUUGGGGUGGAAUUGCAGACAAAAUCCACA
rnacentral:snRNA from 1 species